UAAAUACUAACUUGGUUUCACACUCAUUUUCAAAAUCAUGCUAUGCAGAUUUUCCUUCCUCUUAUGUUACAAUUUGCCUUUUAGAAAAUGCCUUCACUUUGUUACUCUCUUCUUCUGUUGUCUUAAGGGGCAUCCGUUUUGAGGAGAUACCUCAGAGAAUGGCUGGAUUUGGAUUCAUUUUGGAGUCUUCUGGUUAGAGGACAUCUCUUCCCUCUUCCAGCGGGUCUCCACUGUCUCACAGCAUUUCAGUCCCUAUGCCUUCAGCCCUCAUCAUGCUAAUGUGCUGUUCUUGCUUUUCCCGUUGUCAGAGGGGAAUGUCCACUGUCAGAGGUGUACACUUGACAGGCUCUUCUCCUCCCUUUUAUUCUGUCCCUUUUCUCCCUGUCAUAGGCAUGGUUUGUCAUUCUCUAUCCAGUGUUCCUUCCUCUUCUUAGUCUGAUUCAUUUCCCUUAAAGAUGUUAUCUUUACUGCCUACUUCAGCUUUUGCUAGUUCAGUUUCUCUUCGGGUUCACUCUCCUGAGGGUCCUCGCAGCUUCUGUUUACUUCUCACAGUGCAGUUGCCACCUGAUUGACUUAAGUUGUCCCGCAUCUUCUGCACGUGCAGGAUCCAUCUCACUCAUUUCCAGCUGUGCUCCCCUUUUUUGUUUUUGUCCUACCACUUUCAUAAAUUCCCCCUCUCACUCUGUUUUGCCUUGUUGUUCUUCUAAGACCCUUUUACCUUCCUUACUGUCCCUUGCAGAUGUUUAUAGCAUCUCUGUGACUUGUGCCCAGCAUUCACUUGAGCCUUCCCUGUAUUCUUUCCCAUUUUUAUCAGACCCUAAUUUAGGGCAGGUUUUGCCUACUCUGUUUAUACAUACAGGGACAGAAAUGACACCCUUUUCUCCCCAUAGUGAGAGUGUACCUUGGUGCACUCUAUCUGUACCAUUUUAUACUGUACUUUAGUAACUUUCAUGAGCUUCACGACACAUUUUAGGCUUCUGUUUAUCUGUGGUAGCUCUGUUUAAUUUAAAAUCAGGAAAUAUAAACUGGCAAAGUAUUUUUUUCCCUUGUAGAAAUGUUUUUUAUGUGAAAAGAUAGGACAGUCAUUUAUUUAAGACUGGGCCUGUCCCUAAAAGCCCAAAUGUUCCCUAGCCCUCCUGUGGCACCAGGAAGGCCCUUAGGAAAUGGUUCACUUGCCCUUUCUUGCCAAAAUGCUGUAGUCUUUACUUUUCUCAAGAGUGAUCAAUGGAAUUAACCAUCACCUUUUCCAGAGUGCCAUCAUUCUUAGGCUGCAGUUUGUUUUCUAAGGGCAAUUGAGUGUUAAGACCUUUUUGUUUAGAGGAAGGACAACACAUUUUUGUGUAAGUCCAGAUGCUCAUCACUAGUAUAUGAAUAAUUGCAUUAAAAAAUUUCAGGUUCAACUCUACUAGUUUAUCACCCUCUAGUUUUCAUGUACUUACUACAUGGUUUCUAAAGAAGCAGUUUCUGUUUCGUCUGCAUAUUGGUUCUUGAUUUUUAUUACUGGUAUAAUUUACUUUAUUUUGAAACUGCAUCUACAUCUAGAUGCAUAGUUAAUUAUCACUAUCAUAAUUAAUUCUCAACACACAUGUUUUGGAUUUAUUUGAAAAAAUAGUUAACCUUCUUGUAAAAGUAGAAAAACAGCCAUAGAAUUAAAUGAAAGAUUGCUAUUUAAUAAGAGAGUCUAUAUCCUUUCAGUCACUAACCCUGACACAUAAUCCAUGACAAUCUUUUUCCACUGAAUGAAGAAUUUUAUAAACUGCCCUUAAUUUCUGGAAGUUACCCAAGGUUUGAACUUACUUAGUAUCUGUAUUUGAGAAGUGUAUUUCUUUCUUGCUUAUAUUAACUUGUCAGUGCUGUAGCAGGCCUUAAGCCUCUGCUGAUGAUGCUAAAAAAGUGUGAACACUAUGUUCAAGUGGUAAACCAGAAGAUAGGUAAUUAAUAUUUUGGUCUUACUUGUGUGUGUGCAUGUGUGUGUGUGGCAUAGUGGGUUUUAUCACCUGUGCUGGUGCCUGGGCAUGCCACGAUUUAGUAAUGGCCAAAAGGCAUUGCUUAAGUUCAUUUAGCACAUUCUGUGUACUUGCCUCCUAGUAAAAAGUUGAAGAAAGAAGAGACAAAGAAACAAAUACACAGAAAUGAAGUAAAUUAAACCAAAUGGCAUUUCCUUCAGAGUUCAGAAUUUUCAGAUACUACGAAAGAAAGGAUCCACUACUUCUUAUGAAAAUCUAAAAAUGUCAGAAGCGAGAUUCUGUGGAGUCAAAGUAAUACAUGUACAGUAAUAUAUUACUCAAGAAACGAAAAGGCGCCAUUCCAGUUAUACAAGAGAGAAUAAAAACAUCAAGAGUCACGUCAAUCAAAAGGCCCUGUUGACUGUCGCGCCCAAUCUAUGGAUGGAUCCCAUUGUCUCCAGGAGAAUUGGAUGUCAGCAUCGUUUAGGGUUAACAAUGGACCUACUAGGCAAGAGCAGACAGCUCCUCUCAGCAGACACCAGGAAAGCAAACUUCAUAAUGAGGCACUUCAUUCAUCAUACCCUUCUGCUCUAAUUAGUAAAGUGAAUAGGAAACACUUUAAGUUAAGGCAGAAACUGGAUAACAUAAAAACAUUUGUUUUGUAAACACAAAGAAUGCUUUUUUCUAAUGAUCCUCAUCACAUCUAUAUCAAGCAUAUGUUCUGAGCACUGUUUUCUAAAGUUGCUCUUCCACACCUCAAAUUCAUUCUGAUUAUAGAUGGGUUAUUUUUAUUGUCUCUAAAAGUAGGGAAGCUAAUGCUGCUAAGAAUCUGCCAGUCUAAUUUCUAAUCUCAAUCUCAAAAAAGAAGGGGUCAUAAAUACAUAUUUAAAACCAUGCGUAAUUCAUGUUCCACCUCUAUUACACCAGAGUGGAUGCACCAGCUAUAUAUAUAUUGGUGUAAUUUCUAAAAGUACUGAAAAAUCUAAUUUUUACUUAUUCUAGUUCAUUUUUUCUUAAAUCAUCACUUGAUCCUUGUCAAGAAUUAUGGAAGAAUAUGGUAGAGGAAAAUGUAGAAAUGAUUGGUUUAUACAGUGUUUAUGUAAGUACACUUAAAUACUGCCAGUCGUUUCAGAUUGCUUGGAAUGGAAAUGAUUUGUUUAAUGAAAGUAAGGAAAAAAUAGAGUCCAAAAGAAGGAAAAAGCAAGAAGGCCGGGAGAACAGGCUGUUGCCGGAGUGAAUGAGAACCACCGAAGCCUGCGGAAAGCAGUCAUGAGACCAAAGGCAGGUUCUCCGUAGAAAAGCGUGGCUGCUUCAGUUUGGUUUUUCAGUGUUUUUAACUGAGAAUCAGUUGUUAAUUUUUUUCUAUUAAAUUUGUUCACAGGGCCAUUUUAUAUAAACACUCCACCUGAUUUUGUCUGAGCUAUGGUUCUUCAAUUUAAAAUGGAAGAUUGGUUAAGCAUGGUAAUGUUUUUAAACAUCCCUGCUUGUUACACAGAAGUUAAUGUUCAGAAAUGUCUGCAGAUGCUACUUUUAGCAACUAAAUAUUUCCAUAGUGGUAAAGAAAUGUCAGUAAAAUCUAUGCACUUUAAGAACAUCAAAUUCUUAUUAUACUUAUCAUGUGUGCAGGCAGAGUACAUAAUAAACUAGUCUAUAGCAGCUGUAAAUUUCUGAGGAUUUAUCUAACCACAAAUACAUUGAAAUGGGGAAAUGGGGCUAUAUUAAACUAUGCAAGAGGCUGCUGGAGCUUUGCCAUUUCUGCAACAUCCUGUAAUUAAUUUAUCAUGACAGGUCUGGCAAACUGAAACAUCCAAUACACUUGCGACAGACUGUUAAACUCUCACUGUUGGAGAUCCUGCAGUCACAUACAGUGAAGGCCAUCUCUGGAAGACACAGAGCCAAGGCCACGUGGACCUACUGUUUGACUCCUGGCUUUGGAAUCCUGCUAGCUUCU